UACGUAGGGGGCAAGCGUUGUCCGGAAUUAUUGGGCGUAAAGAGCGCGUAGGCGGUCUGUUGCGUCCGCUGUGAAAACUCGGGGCUUAACCCCCGAGCCUGCAGUGGAUACGGGCAGACUAGAGGUAGGUAGGGGAGAAUGGAAUUCCCGGUGUAGCGGUGAAAUGCGCAGAUAUCGGGAGGAACACCGAUGGCGAAGGCGGUUCUCUGGGCCUUACCUGACGCUGAGGAGCGAAGCGUGGGGAGCGAACAGG
rnacentral:rRNA from 1 species